GAUAACUAAGACCGGGAGCACCAGUACUGGCACAAUACUGUGACUGCAAUCCUUCACGGACUUCCGCUGUGCACUUCUUAGAUCCUAUACGCUAUGAAAGCUUGGUGGAAACUACCAAUUUUUCUCUCUCCCUCUCUCUUGCAGGGGGUCAGUAGAGAUGAUCUUGAUAUGGUCAAUAAUGAGUCCUACGACAGUCGGGUCUAACUGACUAGGAUGGUUCAGGACUUUCAUCCGUCGAAGGACUAAGAGCGUGGCAGCAUUCCUUACAACAACAAAGUAUUAUUAUUCAAUACGGCCAUCGACCAAAGUUCACAGUCAGAUUAGGCUUAAUAUGAAAUCCGAGGUGUCAAAGGCAAACAUUCGAGAAAGAAGUGUUGAGAUGAUCUCAUCGUCUUCCAAGCAGCUUAAUCAACUGGCAUCGGGUAAACUAUUCAAUAUUCAAACUAUUAAAAAUUUCAAUAUCUUAUUUUUACGAGGUUGUCUGACGCUGAAAAUUGAUCAAUAGAUCUGGCAUUGAGACGAUUUCUGAAAUUUGAUUUUGAAGAAGCUCUAUGCUAUGCGAGCUUCUGAAACUAUUUAUGGAGUGUCUUAAUUGUUUUCGAUUGCUAAAUUACUACUUGAAAGCGCUUGUAAUCAAGUAACCAUAUAGAUUUUUUUAAUAAUAAUAAUAAGUUUAGUUAAAAUAUUUUUAUGCUCAUGGACUUACCUGAACUGAUUUCGUUUCUCGAUCAAGUCAGCGACACGUGUGCGCCGCAAGGGUGCUGGCGAGGCGCCAGGCGAGACCUGCUGUUGAUUAAGCGACGCGCCCAUCAUUGUUAAUGUUGCCGAAGACUCGGCUGCUGCCGCGGCCGCCGCUGCUGCUUGCUCGGCCACCAAAGCACGCGCCAUAAUCAGAUCUUCCUCCUUCAUUGUCGUUAAACUAGUGUGUAGAUAUUUGCUGAUAAUUAGCGACGCUAAGCGGGCGUGUGAAGUUAUAUUGGAAAGCCGUACACGCGAAGCUGUUUGUUUAGUGAAAUCUAAAUUAGCGCAAGUGUUUUAAGAUUGACAACACAGAACGGAUUUCCAUACACGACUUCGGUAUACGAAAUAGGUAGCACACAAUCGAGGAGAUAUCACAACUGCACGUAGUUGAAGUCGAAUUUGUACUGAUGCGUUUGCUGCAGCAAGCUGUUGAGUUUAACACCAAAAUUGUAGAAUUUUGUAGCAACAGCGAGAACAACAGCGACAGCAGCAACAAUAGCAACAACAACAGCGGCAGCAGCAGCAAAAAACAACAGCAACAAUACUGACAACAACAACAAUGACAGCAACUGCGUUAACGCCAGCAGCGGCUGUGGCAACAACACACAGCCACAUUGAUCAUAACAACAAUGCCUUCUAGAGAUCGCUUAGAUACAUAUAGCCAUAUGUAUAUGUAAGAAUUUACCUUAUAUACAUAUAUAUGUAGAUAUAUAACUAUAAACACAGAAAACCACACUGAAAAAUAUAUGCAUACGCUCG